rnacentral:ncRNA from 1 species
CAGGGUCGCAUCAUAAUUGAUGUAUAAAAGAGAAUCCGGUGAGAGUCCGGAACGAUACCGUCACUGUGAAUGGGAGCGGCUUUCAGAAACCACUGGGAAACCGGGAAGGGAAAGCGGUGAGGAACAAAGUCAGGAGAACUGCCUUGGCG